AUGAUUAAUUUUUACCAAGUAGCAAGAACAGCUGUUUGGCACGUAGCAGUGUGGCAUGAGUAUCUUGUAAAUGAAUUAAACAAAAUAUCUCUCCAACACACACACAGUCAUUCUUGCUGCAUGUCAGCCUCCACUUCUCCCUCCAUUAUUUGAUGCUGUGAAGCUGAGGCAGCCAGCUUGAGCGAAAGCUUUCAGAUCUCACUCCAACAAAGAGCUUUGAUUGAUUCAUUUAGUAUAAGGUGUUUUAUCUGGCUAGAGAAAUCCAAGCUGAGUUUUAUUAAUUACUAAGAAAAGUAUGCAAUAGAUUAA
rnacentral:lncRNA from 10 species